rnacentral:rRNA from 1 species
AUUGAACGCUGGCGGCAUGCCUUACACAUGCAAGUCGAACGGCAGCACGGGAGCAAUCCUGGUGGCGAGUGGCGAACGGGUGAGUAAUAUAUCGGAACGUGCCCAGUCGUGGGGAUAACGUAGCGAAAGCUACGCUAAUACCGCAUACGAUCUAUGGAUGAAAGCGGGGGAUCGCAAGACCUCGCGCGAUUGGAGCGGCCGAUAUCAGAUUAGGUAGUUGGUGAGGUAAAGGCUCACCAAGCCGACGAUCUGUAGCUGGUCUGAGAGGACGACCAGCCACACUGGGACUGAGACACGGCCCAGACUCCUACGGGAGGCAGCAGUGGGGAAUUUUGGACAAUGGGCGCAAGCCUGAUCCAGCAAUGCCGCGUGCAGGAUGAAGGCCUUCGGUUGUAACUAGCUUUGUAC